GCCACGAUUCCACUCCACUACUCUUCACAACAAACUCCUCCUGACCCCGAGCAGUCCACUGCCAGACGGUUACAAACGUCGCUAUCAAUCCGUUGCUCCCUCCGCCUAUAAAAAGGGGGGGGCCCAGAUACGUUAUUCUCUAAGCUCUACUUUCUAUCUCAAAAUUCUGCUAAAAUUUUUGUUCGAGCACUCCAUUCUUGUUGAGGUAGAGAACUGACUUGAGCGUCGGAGGAUCUUG
rnacentral:lncRNA from 1 species